rnacentral:rRNA from 1 species
AAUGAACGUUGGCGGCGUGGAUUAGGCAUGCAAGUCGUACGGUAAGCUUCGGCUUAUAGUGGCGAAAGGGAGAGUAACGCGUGGUUACAUGCCCUCGGGACCGGGAUAGCGGCGGGAAACUGCCGGUAAUACCGGAUAAUAUCUUUGGAUCAAAGGUGUGAUUCCGUCCGAGGAUUGGACCGCGUUCUAUUAGCUUGUUGGCGGGGUCAUGGCCCACCAAGGCGACGAUGGAUACCGGGUGUGCGAGCAUGGCCCGGCUCACUGGGACUGAGACGCUGCCCAGACACCUGCGGGUGGCUGCAGUCGAGGAUCUUCGUCAAUGGGGGCAACCCUGACCGAGCGACGCCGCGUGCGGGACGAAGGCCUUCGGGUUGUAAACCGCUGUCAGUUGGGAGGAAGUGCCGGGGGGUUCUCCCCUCGGUUUGACCGAUCUUCAGAGGAAGGACGGGCUAAGUUCGUGCCAGCAGCCGCAGUAA